rnacentral:rRNA from 1 species
GGGUGAGUAAUGUCGGGGAAACUGCCUGAUGGAGGGGGAUAACUACUGGAAACGGUAGCUAAUACCGCAUAACGUCGCAAGACCAAAGAGGGGGACCUUCGGGCCUCUUGCCAUCGGAUGUGCCCAGAUGGGAUUAGCUAGUAGGUGGGGUAACGGCUCACCUAGGCGACGAUCCCUAGCUGGUCUGAGAGGAUGACCAGCCACACUGGAACUGAGACACGGUCCAGACUCCUACGGGAGGCAGCAGUGGGGAAUAUUGCACAAUGGGCGCAAGCCUGAUGCAGCCAUGCCGCGUGUAUGAAGAAGGCCUUCGGGUUGUAAAGUACUUUCAGCGG